GGAUAUGUGAACGGAGUUCAUUCAUUUGAUCGUCAGUUGACCAAAAGUCAACUAUUUGAUAAAAUGAUUUCUUUUUUUUAUUUAAUUAUAUUAUAUGGGAUAAUUUGGUCAAAUUGUUGACUUUUGGUCAACUAACGAUCGAAUGCACAAAUUUCGUCCACGUGUGU
rnacentral:miRNA from 1 species